rnacentral:piRNA from 1 species
AGGGAGUUUUGUCAGUUGCCCUAAAA